UACGUAGGGCGCAAGCGUUGUCCGGAAUUCAUUGGGCGUAAAGCGCGCGUAGGCGGUUAGGUAGGUCCGUUGUGAAAACUCGAGGCUCAACCUCGAGACGCCGAUGGAAACCAUCUAACUAGAGUCCGGAAGAGGAGAGUGGAAUUCCUGGUGUAGCGGUGAAAUGCGCAGAUAUCAGGAAGAACACCCGUGGCUAAGGCGGCUCUCUAGUACGGUACUGACGCUGAGACGCGAAAGCGUGGGGAGCGAACAGG
rnacentral:rRNA from 1 species